UUCGGGACUUAAAAACGGUGACCCCGGCGGACAUGCCGAAUUUGCGCCAUUCUGGAAAGGACCCCGAAAAUAAUUUUUGACCACUUUUACAAAAAAGUGAUUUUUUUUUUUUUUUUCUCGGGACUUAAAAACGGUGACCCCGGACAUGCCGAAUUUGCGCCAUUCUGGAAAGGACCCCGAAAAUAAUUUUUAACCAUUUUGACAAAAAAGAUUUUUUUUUUUUUUUUUUUUUUUUUUUUUUUUUCGGGACUUAAAAACGGUGACCCCGGACAUGCCGAAUUUGCGCCAUUCUGGAAAGGACCCCGAAAAUAAUUUUUGACCACUUUUACAAAAAAGUGAUUUUUUUUUUUUUUUCGGGACUUAAAAACGGUGACCCCGGACAUGCCGAAUUUGCGCCAUUCUGGAAAGGACCCCGAAAAUAAUUUUUAACCAUUUUUACAAAAAAUUUUUUUUUUUUUUUUUUUCUCGGGACUUAAAAACGGUGACCCCGGACAUGCCGAAUUUGCGCCAUUCUGGAAAGGACCCCGAAAAUAAUUUUUGACCACUUUUACAAAAAAGUGUUUUUUUUUCUUUUUUCUCGGGACUUAAAAACGGUGACCCCGG